rnacentral:rRNA from 1 species
UACGUAGGGUGCAAGCGUUAAUCGGAAUUACUGGGCGUAAAGAGUGCGUAGGCGGCUAUGUAAGACAGAUGUGAAAUCCCUGGGCUUAACUUGGGAAUUGCGCUCGAAACUACGUGGCUCGAGUAUGGCAGAGGAAGGUGGAAUUCCACGUGUAGCGGUGAAAUGCGUAGAGAUGUGGAGGAACACCGAUGGCGAAGGCAGCCUUCUGGGCCAAUACUGACGCUCAUGCACGAAAGCGUGGGGAGCAAACAGG